UAGAGUUUGAUCAUGGCUCAGAUUGAACGCUGGCGGCAGGCCUAACACAUGCAAGUCGAGCGGUAGAGAGAAGCUUGCUUCUCUUGAGAGCGGCGGACGGGUGAGUAAAGCCUAGGAAUCUGCCUGGUAGUGGGGGAUAACGUUCGGAAACGGACGCUAAUACCGCAUACGUCCUACGGGAGAAAGCAGGGGACCUUCGGGCCUUGCGCUAUCAGAUGAGCCUAGGUCGGAUUAGCUAGUUGGUGAGGUAAUGGCUCACCAAGGCGACGAUCCGUAACUGGUCUGAGAGGAUGAUCAGUCACACUGGAACUGAGACACGGUCCAGACUCCUACGGGAGGCAGCAGUGGGGAAUAUUGGACAAUGGGCGAAAGCCUGAUCCAGCCAUGCCGCGUGUGUGAAGAAGGUCUUCGGAUUGUAAAGCACUUUAAGUUGGGAGGAAGGGCAGUUACUUAAUACGUGAUUGUUUGACGUACCGACAG
rnacentral:rRNA from 1 species